rfam:Trichoderma reesei QM6a unplaced genomic scaffold TRIREscaffold_6, whole genome shotgun sequence.
GACACUUUGGCCGAGUGGUUAAGGCGAUGCCCUGCUAUUUCUCGAGAUAACUUCAGGCAUUGUGUUCGCACGCGCAGGUUCGAAUCCUGCAGGUGUCG